UGUUCAUUGUGUGUGACGUUUUCCCAUUGACGGCUAAUACCAUUUUUAGAGAAAGUUUUACGUGAAACUUUCGUCAACAAAAAGGCUGUUUUUAAAGUAAUUUUAUUGCGAUUUUAAUCAUUUAUUCGAUAAAAUGAGACACAUGUAAAUGUAUGAAAACUUUGAGAUUUCGACGUUGGAAGAAAAAAAAAAUACGAUACUCAUAAAUUUUUAUUGAAACAUUAUGUGUUAUUGUUUGUCUAGUUAGAUGAAAUCGAAUCAAUAGAAAAAUAAAUUCGUGGGCUAUAAUUUUUUGGUAAUAUCUCCAGGAUAAACAGUUUGUGUACGAUUUCUGCCCGUUUUGUUCAAUUUAUAUUCAACCAAACAACCUUCUUGGCUUUACAAAGUCAUCGAUUAAAUUCAUUAUCAUCACCAUGAAUAUGGCGUCAACGUUCGAAGAGGAACAAAGUUUGAGAGAAUGUGAAAAUUACAUUCAAUCACAUAAUAUUCAACGUGUACUAAAAGAUUGCAUCGUACAAUUGUGUGUAGCCCGUCCAGAGAAUCCAAUUUCAUUUUUACGGCAGUAUUUUCAAAAAUUGGAACGGG